UGCUAAUUGUCCCCAACACCCAACAGAACAAAUGAAAUGUUUUCAAAAUGAAGUCAAGGAUAAAUGUUCAGAAAUGUUUGAAGAUGAAGACACUUUGAAAAACUUUAACAGUGAGGAGUUAGAAAUCAUAAACAACAUAAUCAAUAUAAAUGACACAGAGGAAUACAAGACCUACAGUUUUGGGGAUCUUGACAUAGCCGUGUUUAUGGUAAACGUAAGCAAGGAAGAUGGUUUUGUAUCAAUCAACACAUCAGAGCUUUUUAAUGAUACUGACGCACCACAAAUAUGGAUCCCAGAGGAGUCUUUCCUAAAUGUUUCAGACGAAGAGAGCAGAGUC